rnacentral:piRNA from 1 species
CAAAGGGUACAGAGAAGUCUACGAUCUC